rnacentral:rRNA from 1 species
GUGGGGAAUAUUGGGCAAUGGGCGCAAGCCUGACCCAGCAACGCCGCGUGAGGGAAGAAGGCUUUCGGGUUGUAAACCUCUGUCCUUGGUGACGAAAAAAAUGACGGUAGCCAAGGAGGAAGCCCCGGCUAACUACGUGCCAGCAGCCGCGGUAAUACGUAGGGGGCGAGCGUUGUCCGGAAUUACUGGGCGUAAAGGGUGCGUAGGUGGCCUUUUAAGUUGGAUGUGAAAUACCCGGGCUUAACUUGGGGGGUGCAUCCAAAACUGGGAGGCUAGAGUGCAGGAGAGGAAAGCGGAAUUCCUAGUGUAGCGGUGAAAUGCGUAGAUAUUAGGAGGAACACCAGUGGCGAAGGCGGCUUUCUGGACUGUAACUGACACUGAGGCACGAAAGCGUGGGGAGCAAACAGGAUUAGAAACCCCUGUAGUCC